rnacentral:rRNA from 1 species
AUUGAACGCUGGCGGCAGGCUUAACACAUGCAAGUCGAGCGAGUGGCGGACGGGUGAGUAAUGUCUGGGAAACUGCCCGAUGGAGGGGGAUAACUACUGGAAACGGUAGCUAAUACCGCAUACCAUCGGAUGUGCCCAGAUGGGAUUAGCUAGGAGGUGGGGUAACGGCUCACCUAGGCGACGAUACCUAGCUGGUUUGAGGGGAUGACCAGCCACACUGGAACUGAGACACGGGCCAGACGCCUACGUGAGGCAGCAGUGGGGAAUAUUGCAAAAUGGGCGCAAGCCGGAUGCAGCCAUGCCGCGUGUAUGAAUAAGGCCUUCGGGUUGUAAAGUACUUUCAGCGAGGAGGCGUUACUCGCAGAAGAAGCACCGGCUAACUCCGUGCCAGCAGCCGCGGUAAUAC